rnacentral:rRNA from 1 species
GAUGGACGCUGGCGGCGUGCCUAAUACAUGCAAGUCGAGCGAACGGACGAUAAGCUUGCUUCUCUGAUGUUAGCGGCGGACGUGUGAGUAACACGUGUAUAACCUACCUAUAAGACUGGGAUAACUUCGGGAAACCGGAGCUAAUACCGGAUAAUAUUUUGAACCGCAUGGUUCAAAAGUGAAAUACGGUCUUGCUGUCACUUAUCGAUGGAUCCGCGCUGCAUUAGCUAGUUGGUAAGGUAACGGCUUACCAAGGCAACGAUGCAUAGCCGACCUGAGAGGGUGAUCGGCCACACUGGAGCUGAGACACGGUCCAGACUCCUACGGGAGGCAGCAGUAGGGAAUCUUCCGCAAUGGGCGAAAGCCUGACGGAGCAACGCCGCGUGAGUGAUGAAGGUCUUCGGAUCGUAAAACUCUGUUAUUAGGGAAGAACAUAUGUGUAAGUAACUGUGCACAUCUUGACGGUACCUAAUCAGAAAGCCACGGCUAACUACGUG